rnacentral:misc_RNA from 1 species
GGCUACUGCAUUUGCUCCAUGUUCUUUAACUCUGGGAGGGGAAUGCUUUUAAGGAUGAAGGUACCUCAAGGGUCUCUAAUUGGCUCUGACCUCAUGACCGAACCCAUGGCUUCUACUGCUAUUAAAAUUUUGCCUCAUCACCCUUCAGGAAUACUUAACUAGCAUGUGUUUAUGUUUUAUGGGUUAUAUGGUUGGUUUGCUCUGGAGCUUCUUGGUCUUUUUUUUCUAGUUUGCUCGAUCUUGCUGCUUCGUGAGGAUAAUGACGGACAAGGUGUUAACUCUUCUAGGACUUCAUCAAGCUUUGUUGAUUCACAUCCUUUGGCUAAAGAGUUCCGCCCCGAUGCUUCUCACUGUAUCCAUUUCCUCUUUCAGGUAGCUUUGCAACUUGAAGAUUAUGAUAUGCCCUUUUUUCUUUUUCGGAUUACCCGUUUAGGAUAGAAUUUUCUUUUUAUAGGCCUUGGGCUGUAUUUAGUUUUUAAUCUUUAUAUUACUUUGUGGAUUGAAUUUUUUAUAAUAGGCUAAUGGUUGUAUAAUCCCUUAUAUCAAUG